CAAAAAAAAAACACUAUCAGCUCGAACCUUCUUAUUCUCUCAGAAGGUUUCAGUAUAGUUUUCCUUUAAGGACCUUAACCUCGUCGCCGGAGAUAGAGUCGUCGUUUUGGAGCCUACGUCGACGAUGACGCCGAUCAUCAGAUCCAGCCCCGUUCUCGCUUUCCUCGUUUUGCAGAUUUGCUUGAUCUUCACUCUCCCAUGCUCUUCUGGGUCUGAGGAUAGUUACAAAAUCACCGGUAGAGUGAGGAUUCCACCAAGUAGAGGCAUUGUGAUUGGUCAUACAGCAAAGUUCUCAAAUGUCAAAGUUAUACUCAAUGGUGGACAGAAUCUUACGUUUCUCAGGCCUGAUGGAUACUUUACUUUUCACAAAGUGCCUGCUGGGACUCAUUUGAUUGAAGUGUCUGCAAUGGGAUACCUCUUCUCUCCGGUACGAGUAGAUGUCAGUGCUCGGCAUCGUGGCAAGGUUCAGGCAACACUAACAGAAACCAGGAGGAGUCUUACUGAGCUGGUUUUGGAGCCAUUGAGGGAAGAGCAAUACUACGAGGUUCGAGAGCCUUUCUCUAUUCUGUCAAUUGUUAAAAGUCCGAUGGGUCUCAUGGUGGGAUUCAUGGUCGUUGUUGUGUUCCUAAUGCCUAAACUGAUGGAGAACAUAGAUCCAGAAGAGAUGAAGCAAGCACAAGAGGAAAUGAGGAGACAAGGCGUGCCUUCGCUCUCGAGCUUGUUGCCAAGCGUUGGGGCUAGCCGUUAAGAGUUCCUUGGUUAACUCAAUGUAUCUCACAAAAGGAGAGCCGAGAAAGGUAUCACAUUGUUGUGAGACACAAACUCCUUGUAAUAGAUUUGCUUUUAAUAAAAAGAAACGUGAAUAUAAUGCAAUUUCAGAAGAAUUUAUUAGUUAGUCAAACAACAUUUAUUAACAAUACAAUAAUAAAAAAGGGAUUAAUAGUAGU